rnacentral:rRNA from 1 species
CCCGCUCGUCUUUCCCGCCGUCGGGCUGCGCUCGGCGACCCGUCGCCCCACAACGCCCGGCGUUUGGGGGGGGAUUCCCGGGCGCUCCCGACCCAACAACGAACCCCGGCGUGAAUUGCGCCAAGGAUCCUAAAAGAAAGAGCGUUCCCCCGUUGCCGCGUUCGCGCAAAAGCAAUCGGAGGAGGCGUCGUCUUCUUGAUGUCUUUA